rnacentral:rRNA from 1 species
UACCUCAGUAACGGCGAGUGAAGCGGUAAUAGCUCAAAUUUGAAAUCUGGCCCUUUCAGGGUCCGAGUUGUAAUUUGCAGAGGGCGCUUUGGAGUCGGCAGCAGCCUAAGUUCCUUGGAACAGGUCAUCAUGGAGGGUGAGAAUCCCGUAUGUGGCUGCUUGCCUUCGCCGUGUAAAGCCCCUUCGAUGAGUCGAGUUGUUUGGGAAUGCAGCUCUAAAUGGGAGGUAAAUUUCUUCUAAAGCUAAAUAUUGGCCAGAGACCGAUAGCGCACAAGUAGAGUGAUCGAAAGAUGAAAAGCACUUUGGAAAGAGAGUCAAAAAGCACGUGAAAUUGUUGAAAGGGAAGCGCUUGCAGCCAGACGUGCCCGCAGUUGCUCAUCUGGGGUUCUCCCCAGUGCACUCUUCUGUGGGCAGGCCAGCAUCAGUUCGGGCGGUUGGAGAAAGACCUGUGUCACGUAGCUCUCUUCGGGGAGUGUUAUAGGGCAGGUGGAAUGCAACCAGCCUGAACUGAGGUCCGCGCAUCUGCUAGGAUGCUGGCGUAAUGGCUGUAAGCGGCCCGUCUUGAAACACGGACCAAGGAGUCUAACAUCUAUGCGAGUGUUUGGGUGUCAAGCCCGAACGCGUAAUGAAAGUGAACGGAGGUGGGAACCCCUCGGGGUGCACCAUCGACCGAUCCUGAUGUCUUCGGAUGGAUUUGAGUAAGAGCAUAGCUGUUGGGACCCGAAAGAUGGUGAACUAUGCCUGAAUAGGGUGAAGCCAGAGGAAACUCUGGUGGAGGCUCGCAGCGGUUCUGACGUGCAAAUCGAUCGUCAAAUUUGGGCAUAGGGGCGAAAGACUAAUCGAACUAUCUAGUAGCUGGUUCCUGCCGAAGUUUCCCUCAGGAUAGCAGUAACGUUUUCAGUUUUAUGAGGUAAAGCGAAUGAUUAGAGGCCUGGGGGUUGAAACAACCUUCACCUAUUCUCAAACUUUAAAUAUGUAAGAAGUCCUUGUUUCUUAAUUGAACGUGGACAUUUGAAUGUAU